GUUAGAGCCCAGGAGCCAAAGAACCUGGACAAAUAAAGUCCAAUUAGUUCUUCAAAGUGCUGAAGUAGCCGUCCUCCUGUUAUUAUUUUUACUUUGAGGACACCUAGUGGCAGUUUCCUGGUGGUGUUCUUCAAAGGCAAACAGAAAGCAGCUUGAGGAUAGAAUAGCAGGGGCGGAGCCUCUUCUACUUAACACCUUCACUCUGCUAUCAGGACUCGCCCUCGGCCUGAAGACACAACUGCUGCGUCCCUGGGGGACACACAGGCCCUUGCCAGAUUCUGCAGCCAAAUCCCCGCUCCCACCUCUCAGCCACCAAACAAAGUUCCCUUGGCCUGUUUCACACGUGCUUUUUAAUGAGCUCAUUGUAGAAGGGAGGUGAGGGUACUUAGUUCAUAAGGUGGCUGUGAGGAUUACGUCAAACUCAAGACAACUCGCCUAGUGCCUAGUAUCCGGGAGAUAUUGAACAGCUGGUAAGACCUUUCCUGACCGCUCACUUCAGCAACCCUGUACGUCGGACAUGGCCCUUGCUGUAGCUGUUUUCCAGACGGAAGUGUUCACGGCUCCACAGAGCUCUGCCAAUGCCAUUCAGACCAAUCCCCAUCUGAGUCCCAGGAGCUAAACGCAUCUCGCAGCUGUGGUUCUCACUGGCUGAUCCGCCCAGGAUUUGUCUUACAACCCUGUUCUAUUAAAUCAAGUUUCCUGGUGGGAAGAAGAUAAGACAUGUACUAGGAGAUGUAAGACACGUCAGAAAACAAGGCAGAGAGAUGUCAGAGGUGCGUUGGGUGUAUUGGCACCUUUCAACCUUACCAUCAUCGCCCGUGAGGGGCUUAUUACCCCAGUUUCACAAAUAUGACAACGACGGCACAGAGAAAGCAGCAGAAUCAAGAUGAAAUCAGGCCAUUGUGCCUCUUCAGGGGGCACCCUACUCUACUCAGCUCCUCAGAGGUCCUCCCAUCUGCACUCAGGAGCUAUCACCAGGCUGCUAAUUCAGUAAGGCAUGCCUUUUCCCUUGGUUCUUUACUUGGAUAACCCCUGUUAUUAUUAG